CUACGGGGCGCACCAGUGGGGAAUAUUGCACAAUGGGGGAAACCCUGAUGCAGCAACGCCGCGUGGAGGAUGACGCAUUUCGGUGUGUAAAUUCCUUUUAUAUAGGAAGAUAAUGACGGUACUAUAUGAAUAAGCACCGGCUAACUCCGUGCCAGCAGCCGCGGUAAUAGGAGGGUGCAAGCGUUACUCGGAAUCACUGGGCGUAAAGCGCGCGCAGGCGGCCUUUUAAGUUGGAUGUGAAAGCCUAUGGCUUAACCAUAGAACUGCAUCCAAAACUAUCAGGCUAGAGUCUGGGAGGGGAAGAUGGAAUUAGUUGUGUAGGGGUAAAAUCCGUAGAGAUAACUAGGAAUACCAAAAGCGAAGGCGAUCUUCUGGAACAGUACUGACGCUGAGGCGCGAAAGCGUGGGGAGCAAACAGGAUUAGAUACCCCGGUAGUC
rnacentral:rRNA from 1 species